rnacentral:rRNA from 1 species
UAGGGAAUUGUUCGCAAUGGGCGCAAGCCUGACGACGCAACGCCGCGUGGAGGAUGAAGGGCUUCGGCUCGUAAACUCCUUUCGACCGAGAUGAAUACCCGCAGGGCUAACAUCCUUGCGGACUGACAGUAUCGAGGGAAGAAGCCCCGGCUAACUCCGUGCCAGCAGCCGCGGUAAUACGGGGGGGGCAAGCGUUGUUCGGAAUUACUGGGCGUAAAGGGUGCGUAGGUGGUCAACUAAGUCAUACGUGAAAUCCCUCAGCUUAACUGGGGAACUGCGUCUGAUACUGGUUGACUUGAGUGCAGGAGAGGAACGCGGAAUUCCAGGUGUAGCGGUGAAAUGCGUAGAUAUCUGGAGGAACACCGGUGGCGAAGGCGGCGUUCUGGACUGUAACUGACACUGAGGAACGAAAGCCAGGGGAGCAAACGGG